AUUAAGCUUAUUUUUUAGUUUUUAGAUAUAAUAUUUUGACUCUUCAUCUUAUUUGAAAUUUUUUUAUGAAUAAUAUUUUUAUUGUUACUAGAUGGUAAAACAUAAAUAGUACUUUAUGCGUGACUAAUUUUUUGAAGUUUUUAUACAUUUUUUUCAAAUAAGACAAAUGGUCGAAGUGUUGGACACAGAAAUCGAAAAAUGAGGUUAUU
rnacentral:pre_miRNA from 1 species